GAAUACACAAAAGGAUGCAAGCGAGGAAUCGACAAAAUAAACCACACACCGGGUGCUUAGAUAGAAAACAUAAAAGGGUGUACAGAGUAAAAAAUAAAAAAAAAUGAGGUCGGGAGGUGCCAACUCCCGAUGGAAUAACCUGGAAAUAUGCUUUGGUUCGCCCAAUAUCAACUACCGUUAGCUCUUGCCCACUUUGUCCUAUGUUUCUUUGCUCUUCGAGUCCAAAUGCCGAAAGCUCUCCUUGUCCGUCACAGUUUGUACAUGAAAAUCACACACACAAAAAACGUAUAGAGAGAACACGAAAAAAAAUGUAUUGCACCUUCCUUUUGGCGUCUUCUUUGACACUUGCGAGAUAAAUGAACAGUUUUGAACUUGCUCAACCAAAUGAAAUUUAAGCUUUCUUAUGAAAAAGAGUUAAAAGAAAAUAUGGCUCAAGGUCCAAGAAAAUGAAGCAGAAGAAAGAACCCUUUUGAGGAGAAACGAUGGAGAACGACAAUAUUUUUGAAAAAAAGCAAUGCCUCUUUCGAAAUCAGAUCCAAAUUCCAUACCCAAAAAUAUUCUAAACUUCUUCCACAGAUUUGCUUCCUCUAAUAAAUAUAUGUGUGUGCAUAUAAACAAACACAUGGACCUCUAAUAAAUCCUAUUAUGGAAGAAAAUUGCAAAAAAGAAAAUUAACAAAAUUUUAAAAAAUCGAAGAACACCUCAAAUUAUAAAAUUUGCUUGAAAAGUAACUUAACGACUACAAAUUGUUUGUUUUACUAGAUUGAUUUACCUUUCGCUUAAAGGAAAAUGCAAGUUCCCCAACAUUGAUAAACAGAAAAAGUACUUUGAAGAAACUGGAACAAAGAAUCACCAAAUAAUAGCAAAAACUCAUAACAGUAAACUCAACAACUUAUAUGAAUCAACGAUCAGCAAAAACACAAAAAUAAUCCUUUUUAUUACUUGCACUGGUCGCACAAUUUUAGAUUCACAGUGAAACCCACAAAUCAAUCUUUUUACCUAACCCAAAACAGAACCACAGUAGAGCAACAAAAAUACAGCUAAUAAAACGAUAAAACCCUAAUAUCCAAAAUUGAUAUAACUGCAACCCACAUCCACAAGCAUGAAAAUGACAGUCUUUAAACAAGUGAAAGUGAAAUAAAGUCAAAAAGGGGUAAGUGGAAUUUACUUGCUGGGGUUGAUCGAAUAUGAGCCAAAAAUAGAAAGAAAAACCAAAAUUAAUCGAAAAGCCAAAAAAGGAGCAAAGUAUACUUAGGGGUCGCCGGAGAAGGGUCGUCGGAGGGGGAGGGGGUCGCCGGAGGAGGGGUCGACCGGGGUAGGGGAGAGGGGGCCUGGGAGCUGAGGAGGGGGGCUUGAUGAAAUUGACAUUAGAGAGGAGAGAGAAGAGAGAGA
rnacentral:lncRNA from 1 species